rnacentral:rRNA from 1 species
AGAGUUUGAUCCUGGCUCAGAACGAACGCUGGCGGCAGGCUUAACACAUGCAAGUCGAACGCUCGCAGCAAUGCGGGAGUGGCAGACGGGUGAGUAACGCGUGGGAACAUACCCUUUGGUUCGGAAUAACUGAGAGAAAUUUCAGCUAAUACCGGAUGUGCCCUUUUUGGGGAAAGAUUUAUCGCCAAAGGAUUGGCCCGCGUCUGAUUAGCUAGUUGGUGGGGUAACGGCUCACCAAGGCGACGAUCAGUAGCUGGUCUGAGAGGAUGAUCAGCCACACUGGGACUGGAACACGGCCCAGACUCCUACGGGAGGCAGCAGUGGGGAAUAUUGCGCAAUGGGCGAAAGCCUGACGCAGCGACGCCGCGUGAGGGAUGAAGGGCUUCGGUUCGUAAACCUCUGUCAGAAGGGAAGAAGUGGGCUCGUGCUAAUCAGCGGGUCUUUGACGGUACCUUCAAAGGAAGCACCGGCUAACUCCGUGCCAGCAGCCGCGGUAAUACGGAGGGUGCAAGCGUUAAUCGGAAUCACUGGGCGUAAAGCGCAUGUAGGCCGCUUUAUAAGUCAGAGGUGAAAUCCCACGGCUUACCCGUGGAAUUGCCUUUGAUACUGUAGAGCUUGAGUCUGUGAGAGGAUAGCAGAAUUCCAGGUGUAGGGGUGAAAUCCGUAGAGAUCUGGAGGAAUAUCAGUGGCGAAGGCGGCUAUCUGGUGCAGUACUGACGCUGAGAUGCGAAAGCGUGGGGAUCAAACAGGAUUAGAUACCCUGGUAGUCCACGCUGUAAACGAUGGAUACUAGGUGUCGGGAGCAUGUCUUUCGGUGCCG